rnacentral:rRNA from 1 species
UACAGAGGUCUCAAGCGUUGUUCGGAUUCAUUGGGUUUAAAGGGUGCGCAGGCGGGCCAUUAAGUCAGGGGUGAAAGACGGUUGCUCAACAAUCGCAGUGCCUUUGAUACUGGUGGUCUUGGGUGACCUUGAGGUAGGCGGAAUGGGUGGUGUAGCGGUGAAAUGCAUAGAUACCACCCAGAACUCCGAUUGCGAAGGCAGCCUACUGGAGGUUUACCGACGCUCAGGCACGAAAGCGUGGGGAUCAAACAGG